rnacentral:lncRNA from 1 species
CGGUUUGGAUGCGUGUGAACGAAUUGAUUCAGUCUGGAAACUCGCGACUAUACCCGAGGCCCGCCCGGGGGAGGCGCCACCGACCGGCCAGAUUUGAGAGAAAAAAGGCUGCCCGGGCACCCUGCCGUCAGCAAUUUACUUUAUGCAGCGCCAUCAGCACAUUAACAGGGACGAGAAAUAUGGAGGCUGCUUUUACACUUCAAAUCUUGAAUCUUCAGUGAAAGGUGUCUGUCCUUGCAACUUCUUGAAUAUGUGCUGUGCGACGAUUUCCUGAUUUCUUUUCUCUUGGUGCGGAAUUAUUUCAUGUCGCGUUCGCCCGGCCUAGGGGGUGCCAGUUCCGGUGACAGUGGGCGAUCGUUCAGAUUUCACUCCCUGGAUGCUCCACUCGAGCUCAACAACAACAGCGCGGCGCACGCAAGCCACGAAACCACUGGUGACCCUACUCCAAAGCCACCGCACUGGUUCCACGCAUAUCUGAAAGAAAAGCCAGGCUUGUGGAGGGGAAAAAAGUGAAGGUUUCGGGGUACAGAUCCACUUUAAAAUUCCGGUAAAAUCAACCAUCCGUCGGGGGAAGAAAAAUUAGCAGGUCCACGAGAAGGCACUCAAGUCGGAAAAAAGAGAGAAAGAUAGGUAGAAAGAAAAAAAACACGUACCUCCAUUCUAAGAAAAAGAAAUUGGAAGUAGUAACACGUACCGAGGGCAGUGUUAUCGUUGUUGAAUCAUUUGGCUCUCGUCUUGGUACAGCCGGCCCUAGUUGCGGCCUCCCGGCCAAAAGGCCAAAGCCUAUCCUGGAAAACAGAAAGCAUAGGGCGUGGCGAGAUGACGCCUGUGCACGCUCCACCAACAGCGCUUGGUCUGGUAGUGAAGGAAGGAGAUCCUCUGAAGAACACAGGCGACGGCCGACGGCCGUCGCUGGGAGGGAAAAAUUGCUUGCCCGGCUCACGCUCACGCACGCAAAGGAGCGGAGAUGGAAGUAGCCAGUAGUCACUAGUCAGUAGCCCAGAAACGUAUCCAAGACAAACUUGAAUUAGCCCUGAAAAGAGCCUGCGCCGAUCUUGUCAGAUUCUGUACCGGAUACCGGUACCGGCUCCGGCUAACGCUGCGCGGUGUGGCG